AGCAGCCGCGGUAAUUCCAGCUCCAAUAGCGUAUAUUAAAGUUGUUGCAGUUAAAAAGCUCGUAGUUGAAUUUCGGGACCAAAUUGUCGGUCGUGCCUCGGUACGUACUGGCGUUAUUGGUUCCUCCCUUCUGAAGAACCACGAUGUCAUUAAUUUGGUGUCGCGGGGAAUCAGGACUGUUACUUUGAAAAAAUUAGAGUGUUUAAAGCAGGCUCGCGCUUGAAUACAUUAGCAUGGAAUAAUGAAAUAGGACGUUUGAUUCUAUUUUGUUGGUUUCUAGGAUCGACGUAAUGAUUAAUAGGGAUAGUUGGGGGCAUUAGUAUUCAAUUGUCAGAGGUGAAAUUCUUGGAUUUAUUGAAGACUAACUACUGCGAAAGCAUUUUGCCAAGGAUGUUUUCACUAAUCAAGAACGAAAGUUAGGGGAUCGAAGACGAUCAGAUACCGUCGUAGUCUUAACCAUAAACUAUGCCGGACUAGGGAUCGGAUGAUGUUAAUUUUUUUAAUGUACUCAUUCGGCGCC
rnacentral:rRNA from 1 species